CCUACGGGUGGCAGCAGUGGGGAAUAUUGCACAAUGGGCGCAAGCCUGAUGCAGCGACGCCGCGUGAGGGAUGACGGCCUUCGGGUUGUAAACCUCUUUCGCCAGGGACGAAGCGAGAGUGACGGUACCUGGAGAAGAAGCACCGGCUAACUACGUGCCAGCAGCCGCGGUAAUACGUAGGGUGCGAGCGUUGUCCGGAAUUAUUGGGCGUAAAGAGCUCGUAGGCGGUUUGUCGCGUCUAUCGUGAAAACCUGCGGCUUAACUGUGGGCUUGCGGUGGAUACGGGCAGACUUGAGUUCGGUAGGGGAGACUGGAAUUCCUGGUGUAGCGGUGAAAUGCGCAGAUAUCAGGAGGAACACCGGUGGCGAAGGCGGGUCUCUGGGCCGAUACUGACGCUGAGGAGCGAAAGCGUGGGGAGCGAACAGGAUUAGAUACCCCAG
rnacentral:rRNA from 1 species